rnacentral:tRNA from 1 species
GGUAGAUUUUUUGUUAGUUUUCUAAACUGAUUUUGAGGUUGUUCUCGUCUAUUU